CUCAACGUCGACAAGGCAGUGUCUACUGUCUAGGCAUAGCUAAAAAUUGGGAGCGAUUUUUUCUGCAUUUAAGCUCGAAGACAAUGUCUCCGUUAUUUUCUGCCAUCUUUUUGUUUGGCCUGUGCGUGGCAAACGCCAUCAACUUCACAACCGUCUACCAGUGGGACAAAUUCGAUUUCAUCUGGCCAUCAGAAGCGGAUACUUCAAAUGGACAGAUUAAAAAUGAAUACAGGCCGGAAAAUGUUGUUCCUUCAUUCAUGGCUGUUUAUGGAGAAAGGCUGUUUCUAAGCCUUUGGCUUCUGGAAUUCCCGCCACUUUGGUGUGGCUGCCAACGAGUGGCUCGUCGACUGCACCUCCAAAACUUGCUCCUUUCCCAACCUGGGAAUUACAU